AUAGGAGAUAGAAAUUAUUUUAGGAGCAAUAGAAAACAGUACCGCAAGGGAACGAUGAAAGAUUAAAUUUACAGUAAAAAAAAGCAUAGAUUAAACCUACUACCUCUUGCAUAAUGAAUCAACUAGAAGCGUUUUACAAAAAGAAUUAAAGCUAAAUACCCCGAAACCAAACGAGCUACCAUUGAACAGCUAAACCGAGCAAACCCGUCUAUGUAGCAAAAUAGUGGGAAGAUUUAAUGGUAGAGGUGAAAAGCCUACCGAGUUUGGUGAUAGCUGGUUAUCCAAAAAAGAAUUUUAGUUCAACUUUAAGUCCUUUUUAAAAAAAAUAUAAUUUCAUAAGAAGACUUAAAUGUUAAUUUAUAGAGGUACAGCUCUAUAAAUAAGGAAUAAACCUUUAACAGAGGGUAAACGAAUUCACGUAUCAUAGUUGGCUUAAAAGCAGCCAUCAAUUAAGAAAGCGUUAAAGCUCAACAAAACCCUACUCAUAAAUUCCUACGAUAACUCAUGAACCCCUGGAUGUAAUAUUGGAUUAAUCUAUUAAUAUUAUUAUAGAAGAGAUCAUGUUGAUAUUAGUAACAAGAAUUAUUUCUCCGUGCACAAGUUUAUAUCUAACCGAAUGCUCGCUGAUAGUUAACAGCAUUAUGAACAAACAUAACUUUAUCAAUAAUUUCAUUACAAUUACUGUUAAUCCGACACAGGAGUGCUGCAAAGGAAAGACUAAAAAAGAUAAAAGGAACUCGGCAAACACAAACCCCGCCUGUUUACCAAAAACAUCACCUCUAGCAUAAUAAGUAUUAGAGGCACUGCCUGCCCAGUGAUAUUAUUUCAACGGCCGCGGUAUCCUGACCGUACAAAGGUAGCAUAAUCACUUGUUCUUUAAAUAAGGACCUGUAUGAACGGCUAGACGAGGGUUUCCCUGUCUCUUAUCUUCAGUCAGUGAAAUUGACCUUCUCGUGAAGAGGCGGGAAUGCUAAAAUAAGACGAGAAGACCCUAUGGAGCUUUAACUAAUUAAUUCACUCAUUAAUAUAAAUAUCACUCUUAAAGUGCUGAAUUAAAAGUUUUGGUUGGGGUGAUCUCGGAGAAAAACAAAACCUCCGAAUGAUGUUAACCUAGACACGACAAGUCAAAGUAUAAAUCAUGAAUUGACCCAAUAAAUAUUGAUCAACGGAACAAGUUACCCUAGGGAUAACAGCGCAAUCCUAUUUCAGAGUCCAUAUCGAUGAUAGGGUUUACGACCUCGAUGUUGGAUCAGGACAUCCCAAUGGUGCAGUCGCUAUUAAAGGUUCGUUUGUUCAACGAUUAAAGUCCUACGUGAUCUGAGUUCAGACCGGAGUAAUCCAGGUCGGUUUCUAUCUAUUUCUAUGUUUCUCCCAGUA
rfam:Myotis brandtii contig261098, whole genome shotgun sequence.